UUCGCAAUGCCCGAAAGGGUGACGAGGCGACGCCGCGUGCGGGAAGAAGGCCUUCGGGUUGUAAACCACUGUCGGGAGUUAGGAAGUGCAAGAAUGUUAAUAGCGUUCUUGCUUGACUAAGGCUCCGGAGGAAGCCACGGCUAACUCUGUGCCAGCAGCCGCGGUAAUACAGAGGCGGCAAGCGUUGUUCGGAAUUAUUGGGCGUAAAGAGCACGUAGGCGGCUAUGUAAGUCGGUUGUGAAAGCCUUCCGCUCAACGGAAGAACAGCAUCCGAUACUACAUGGCUUGAGUGUGGGAGGGGAGAGUGGAACUUCUGGUGGAGCGGUGAAAUGCGUAGAUAUCAGAAGGAACGCCGGCGGCGAAAGCGGCUCUCUGGCCCAUAACUGACGCUGAGUGUGCGAAAGCUAGGGGAGCAAACGGGAUUAGAUACCCCGGUAGUCCUAGCCGUAAACGAUGGGCACUAAGUAGAGGGGUUUU
rnacentral:rRNA from 1 species